GACGAACGCUGGCGGCGUGCUUAACACAUGCAAGUCGAACGGAAAGGCCCUGCUUUUGUGGGGUGCUCGAGUGGCGAACGGGUGAGUAACACGUGAGUAACCUGCCCUUGACUUUGGGAUAACUUCAGGAAACUGGGGCUAAUACCGGAUAGGAGCUCCUGCUGCAUGGUGGGGGUUGGAAAGUUUCGGCGGUUGGGGAUGGACUCGCGGCUUAUCAGCUUGUUGGUGGGGUAGUGGCAUACCAAGGCUUCGACGGGUAGCCGGCCUGAGAGGGUGACCGGCCACAUUAGGCCUACGAGACGCCCCAGUCUCCUACGGGAGGCAGCGGGGGGAAGUCUGACACAACGGCGGGACGCCUGAUACGACAACCCCCCGUGCGGAAUACCGGCCUUCGGGUUGUAAACCGCUUUCGCCGGAAACGAACCGUGAGUGACGGUAAUUAAUAAAAAAGCACCGGCUAACUACGUG
rnacentral:rRNA from 1 species